rnacentral:rRNA from 1 species
UGAGUAACACGUGGGCAAUCUGCCCUGCACUUCGGGAUAAGCCUGGGAAACUGGGUCUAAUACCGGAUAGGACCUUUAGACGCAUGUCUUUUGGUGGAAAGCUUUUGCGGUGUGGGAUGGGCCCGCGGCCUAUCAGCUUGUUGGUGGGGUGAUGGCCUACCAAGGCGACGACGGGUAGCCGGCCUGAGAGGGUGUCCGGCCACACUGGGACUGAGAUACGGCCCAGACUCCUACGGGAGGCAGCAGUGGGGAAUAUUGCACAAUGGGCGCAAGCCUGAUGCAGCGACGCCGCGUGGGGGAUGACGGCCUUCGGGUUGUAAACCUCUUUCACCAUCGACGAAGGUCCGGGUUUUCUCGGAUUGACGGUAGGUGGAGAAGAAGCACCGGCCAACUACGUGCCAGCAGCCGCGGUAAUACGUAGGGUGCGAGCGUUGUCCGGAAUUACUGGGCGUAAAGAGCUCGUAGGUGGUUUGUCGCGUUGUUCGUGAAAUCUCACGGCUUAACUGUGAGCGUGCGGGCGAUACGGGCAGACUAGAGUACUGCAGGGGAGACUGGAAUUCCUGGUGUAGCGGUGGAAUGCGCAGAUAUCAGGAGGAACACCGGUGGCGAAGGCGGGUCUCUGGGCAGUAACUGACGCUGAGGAGCGAAAGCGUGGGGAGCGAACAGGAUUAGAUACCCUGGUAGUCCACGCCGUAAACGGUGGGUACUAGGUGUGGGUUUCCUUCCUUGGGAUCCGUGCCGUAGCUAACGCAUUAAGUACCCCGCCUGGGGAGUACGGGCCGCAAGGCUAAAACUCAAAAGGAAUUGACGGGGGGCCCGCACAA